UAAAAUGACAUUAAAUCCACUAGAUCAGUUUAGGAUACAUACUUUAGCAGAGUUACCUAAUUUUUUUGGGCAUGACGUAAGUUUUACUAAUUCAUCGCUUUUUAUGAUGAUUUCAGUAAUAUUGGCAGCAAUGUUUUUAUUGAUUGGCAUAAGAAAAAAGUCAGGAUAUUUUCAAGCUUCAGUUGAAUAUAUCUAUGAAUUUGUUGUUUCAACAAUAGAAGGUAAUACUGGCAGUAAAGGACUUAAUCACAUCCCUUUGAUAUUCACGAUUUUUAUUUUUAUCUUGUCAUGUAAUUUAGUUGGUAUUCUUCCUUGUGCAUUUACGGUAACAAGUCAUAUAAGUGUUACCUUUGCCUUAUCUAUGAUUGUUUUUAUCUACGUAACAAUUGUUGGGUUCAAAGAGAGAGGAUUAGAGUUUUUGUCUAUAUUUUUGCCGAAGGGUACUCCUCUUUGGCUUGCAUGGUUAAUAGUAAUUAUUAAGUUAUUUGCUUACUUAGUGAGACCGGUUAGUUUAUCAGUAAGACUUGCAGCAAAUAUGGUUGCAGGACAUACAAUUAUUANG